UACAGAGGGUGCAAGCGUUGCUCGGAAUCAUUGGGCGUAAAGGGCAAGUAGGUGGUCUCAUUUGUCUGAUGUGAAAGCCUUGGGCUUAACCCAAGAAGUGCGUCAGAAACGGUGAGACUCGAGUUCCGGAGAGGUGGGUAGAAUUCCCGGUGUAGCGGUGAAAUGCGUAGAGAUCGGGAGGAAUACCAGAGGCGAAGGCGGCCCACUGGACGGAUACUGACACUCAACUGCGAAAGCGUGGGGAGCAAACAGG
rnacentral:rRNA from 1 species